rnacentral:lncRNA from 1 species
GUUGUAGUUUGUUGUCUUGCUUGGGUCCCUGCAGUUAAAACAAGAUGCUCCUCCCUAGGUUAUUAUAAAACCCAGCAACUCGACCUCCCGUAAGGAGAUCUGGGCUUUCAGAGGAGAAGCUGUGUUUCUAUAUGAUGUCAAUGUUUGAAGAGUUUGGACAGUGUUUGAGCUGAACCUUUUAACCCUGCUCUGCUCUUUAUGAAACUGUGUGUCACAAUGUUAGUCCACUCUGGCCUUAAACUUGAUCCUUCAGCCCCAGCAUCCCAAGUCCUGGGAUUAUAGUUAAGUUUCUCCACACCAGGCGUCCCAGUGAUUUCAAUAGAUGAGCAAAUUUGGGAGUCAAUGAAAUGGGAGAAAGACCCGUGUCAUAAGGCAUCGUAGAACGUCAUUACUGCCGCCCCCGCGUCUAAUUGCCGAGGACAAAGAGGGAGAGAGCUACUCAAG